UAGCAUCCAGCUGAAGCUUCCCCGUUUGUGCACUAGGCUCUGACCCUAAUUUACAAACUCAAAAUAAUUAAAUAUAUGAAAACACCGGCCAAAGAUAAAUUCGUAGAGACAACAUUAUCACCGGACGGAGACAGCUAAAGUAAAUCCGGACUCUCGCCGCCGGGGCGGCCCUGCGCCCCUAGCGCCGCCGUCCAAUGCCACCUCUGCUUCUCGACGACGCCGCCCUUCAACGGCGUCGCCUCUCUCCGGCUCCUUGUGGACACCGUCCUGCCUCAUCGUUCCUCCUCGUCCACAUCGACUUCGAAGUUCCAAUCGUCAGAUCUCGCCUUUGCCGCUGAAGUGGUGCCCCGUUGAUCCCACAAGAACACACCAAAAGGUGUUAAUCAACGUCGCUGGCUCCACAUCGCCUUCUUCUUUGACGCUGAAGAUCGAGUUUGGCCUCCAUUGCGUUGAUCCCACAAGAACACACCAAAAGGUGUUUAUCAUCGCUGCUGGCCAUACUUCACCGUCGCCAACGCACCGUUGAUCCCACAAGAACACACCGUGUUUAUCAACGCCACUGGCUCCCUUCGACGCUGCUGAUCAAGUCUUCGCUGUUCGAGUUCGUCUUCACUGAUGUGGAUCUCCAUCCUUCGUAUGGCUCCGGAUGUGGUCCAAAUCACACACCAAAAAGGGCAUUGGACGCCCGGGCCGCUACAGACCAAAGAACGCAGUGAGGAUCUCACUUUUUCACGGUGAAGAAUGUGGUUUCAGUUCUGAAUGUUUCCAUGAUGGUGAACAUAAUGGAUGUCAAGAGCCCUGUCGCCGUCAAGCAUGAGGAGGCGUGAUGGAGGGAAUCAGAAGGAGAAGAAGCUAGGAGAAAGCCAGUUACAAUCUUGGGCCAGUGAAGGAAGCAAGGCCCGUGAGAGCUAAGAAGUCCAACUCCAAAUUAAGAACACACGCAGAGAGAGAGAGAGAGCAGAGCAGAGGAGAGAACACGAGGGAAAAAAUGAGAGAAGUGGUCGGCAGCGUCUGGACGGCAGUGGAAGGGAGCAGACGCUCACUUGGUCUUGUAACCUACCCUUAUACGUGUUAAGUUCUUCUUCUUCGUAAGCCAAAUUACAGACAUCGUGAUCGUGACUCGUGAGUGAUAUCCAUUCCCGUAUCUAGUAGAGUGUGCUUAGUCUCUGUUCGCUAGUCUGAAAAGCCAUGGAUAAAAAUACUAUUCGCUGAUUUACUAUGAGAGAAAAAUACUGCUGGUUGAC